GCGGCCGAGCGGGGUCAGUUCUCUGUAGUGCUUGCCAAUGUUGGAGCCGUCUGCAAAGUGUCCCUGGCAAGAAGUUUUUGGAGCCGUGAGGGAUACAGCAGUUUGGUCAAUAUUGUUUUAACAUGCUUCAAAUAAAUCAGGAUGAGUCACUUCCAAUAGCAGGGCAUAGGGGAAGGGAAGCCAGCAAAGAGACAUAGACACUGUGUCCAAGUCAUUUCUGGGACCAGGGAUGGAAACGGAUUCUUCUGUGGAGAGACUUGCCUUGGCAGCUUCUCUCCAAGAUAAAAUGGCAAACCCCAAAGAGAAAACUCCAAUGUGUCUGGUAAAUGAGUUAGCCCGUUUCAAUAGAGUCCAACCCCAGUAUAAACUUCUGAAAGAAAGAGGGCCUGCUCAUUCGAAGAUGUUCUCAGUGCAACUGAGUCUUGGUGAGCAGACAUGGGAAUCCGAAGGGAGCAGUAUAAAGAAGGCUCAACAGGCUGUUGCUAAUAAAGCUUUGACUGAAUCUACACUUCCCAAACCAGUUCAGAAACCACCCAAAAGUAAUGUUAAUAAUAACCCAGGUAGUAUAACUCCAACUGUGGAACUGAAUGGGCUUGCUAUGAAAAGGGGAGAGCCUGCCAUCUACAGGCCAUUAGAUCCAAAGCCUUUCCCAAAUUAUAGAGCUAAUUACAACUUUCGGGGCAUGUACAAUCAGAGGUAUCAUUGCCCAAUGCCCAAGAUCUUUUAUGUUCAGCUGACUGUAGGAAACAAUGAAUUUUUUGGGGAAGGAAAGACUCGACAAGCUGCUAGACACAAUGCUGCAAUGAAAGCCCUUCAAGCACUGCAGAAUGAGCCUAUUCCAGAAAAAUCACCUCAGAACGGUGAAUCCGGAAAAGAAAUGGAUGAUGACAAAGAUGCAAACAAAUCUGAGAUCAGCUUAGUGUUUGAAAUUGCUCUGAAGCGAAAUAUGCCCGUCAGUUUUGAGGUUAUUAAAGAAAGUGGACCACCACAUAUGAAAAGCUUUGUUACUAGGGUGUCAGUAGGAGAGUUCUCUGCGGAAGGAGAGGGAAAUAGCAAAAAACUCUCCAAGAAGCGUGCUGCAACCACCGUCCUACAGGAGCUUAAGAAACUCCCGCCUCUUCCUGUGGUUGAAAAGCCAAAAUUAUUUUUUAAAAAACGCCCUAAAACAAUAGUAAAGGCUGGACCAGAGUAUGGUCAAGGAAUGAACCCCAUUAGCCGCCUGGCUCAAAUUCAACAGGCCAAAAAGGAGAAGGAGCCAGAUUAUGUUUUGCUUUCAGAAAGAGGAAUGCCUCGGCGUCGGGAAUUUGUGAUGCAGGUCAAAGUAGGCAAUGAAGUUGCUACUGGAACAGGACCUAACAAAAAGAUAGCCAAAAAAAAUGCUGCAGAAGCAAUGCUGUUACAGCUUGGUUAUAAAGCAUCCACUAGUCUUCAAGAUCAACUUGAUAAGACAGGGGAGAACAAAGGAUGGAGUGGUCCAAAGGCUGGGUUUCCUGAACCAACAAAUAACACUCCAAAAGGAAUUCUUCAUUUGUCUCCUGAUGUUUAUCAAGAGAUGGAAGCCAGCCGCCACAAAGUAAUCUCUGGCACUACUCUAGGCUAUUUGUCACCCAAAGAUAUGAACCAACCCUCAAGCUCUUUCUUCAGUAUAUCUCCCACAUCGAAUAGUUCAGCUACCAUUGCCAGGGAACUCCUAAUGAAUGGAACGUCUCCUACAGCUGAAGCCAUAGGUUUAAAAGGAAGUUCUCCUACUCCCCCUUGUUCUCCAGUACAACCUUCAAAACAACUGGAAUAUUUAGCAAGGAUUCAAGGCUUUCAGGUUCACUACUGUGAUAGACAAAGUGGCAAAGAGUGUGUGACCUGUCUGACAUUAGCCCCUGUGCAGAUGACUUUCCAUGCUAUUGGAAGCUCCAUUGAAGCCAGCCAUGAUCAGGUAUAAUUUGCCACUGCCAUUUUGCUGCAUUAUGGCCCAGCUGAGAAAUCAGAGACCAUCAAAAUGGAAGUUAUGUGCACACCUACAGCUUUGCUUUCCCUAAUACAUUACCCACUAGCACCAUCUGCUAGAAUUUUUAAAAAUCCAAAAUUUGGAGGUUGGGAAACCAACAUCUUGGGAGAUUUAAAUUAUUUUAGACUUCUAGUGGGUAGUUCAUUAUUAAUUAAAAUACAAAAUGCUCUUAUAUUUGCCCUACAAGUUAUUUUCGUGUUUAAAAAUUACAUAUAGGAAGCAGGGUUAGAUAAACAACAUAGGUAACACUAGGGUCUCACUGUAAUAUACUCAUUCAGUUCUGUUGAAGAGAGCUCAAUAUUCUAGAAUGUGUAUAAAAUAACUGAACUUUCAGAAUCAUCACUUUACUCCCAUAAUUUGAGAUCUUAUUUAAAUGACACUGCAGUGUUGUUUCUACUUUUAAGGUUUUAUUUCUGAAUUACAGCUUAAAAUCUGACAAGUAUAUUAUUUCUUAAUAACAAAUUCCCUUGUUUAGAUAGCAGCUUGCAAAAAAAUAUCCUGUUUAUAACAUCAUACAUAUUUUCAAUUAAAAUAAUCAUCAGAUUAGACUAAACUAAUGAUCUAGGUCAUAGAAUUUCUAGUUUGGAGUAAAAAUAAAUACACAUACACGAUUUACAGUUUGACUAACCAGCUAUGCUUUCUAAAUUAACUAUUCAUAUGCAGAACAAUGGUAACUCACUUUUAUAUCCAUUUCUCAGUAAAUUUGAAGACUUCUAAUAGUCUUGCCUGACUAGUCUUUUUUUCCUUCUCUCUGAGUAGUACCCUUGCAUGGAAAGAAUAAAAGAACAUAGUAGUUUAUCUUCUCAAACACAUGAUUUAUCACCCAGCUCAAAAAAGACAUCCUUAAUGGCGCACUUCCCUAGUUCAUAAUGUCUCUGUCAUUGUGGGGUUUCCUUCCGAUCGUCAUUUGUUGAUUGGUGUUGAGGAAAAAGCAACUAAAUUAGGCAGAAAAAAUGCUAUUUAGGAACUAACCACGGCGUGAGUUAGCUGCAGCUACCUGAGUGGAUUCUGCCCUCUCUUUGGGAGAGGAAUGUUUUCUGGAUUGUUAAAUGAAGGAGUUGAUUAGAUGGCUUGCAAGAUCCAUUCCAGUGCUGCCAUUUUCUGGUUCUGUGACUGAUCUUCCUGCUCCUGGCUGAAUAAGCCCCACUAAUAAUAAACAGUUAAUAGCAUAUUGGCUUCGAAAGCAGCUUGGAGAUUACUCCAGUGCUUCUCAGAGUUUGGCACUGACCUCUGCUCUAGCUGCAGAAGAGAGUGCAGCAGGAAUUAGAGGGACAUGACCUAAGCUAAUUGAUAGAAAGUAUUGUGUUUCGCUGUGUAAAACUAUAACUUAGCUAUAUGCUAGGUGCUAAGGAUAAGUGAUAAGAAUGUUAGACAUGGUUCCUGGUCUCGUGGAGCUUGCAAACUAGCAACUUUACGACUUUGAGUAUUUGCCAACAAGUCUAGCUGCUGCUGUAUCUCUGUAUCCAUUCAUGGCAGAAACACAUGCAAGAGCAGCAUGAGAUAACCAUCCUGCAAAGGCCGCCUGUUAGGCUGAGCAAAGACAUGAAAGAGUGUUUCAGAAAGCCACACACCUGAGAAGAGCAACCCAUUGUUAGCAGAGGCAGCAUGCUGCUGUACAAGAGCACUGGAAUGGGAAUAGAGACUGAGAUCAAACCUAGAUUUGCCAUGAGGUAGCUGUGGGAACUUGUCUCUCUGCCUCUUGGAGCUUGGCUUCUUCAUGAAUAAAAUAAUGAGGCUGGUUCAGGCUUGUGCCAAGUCCAUGUGGUAAAGUUCUGGGCUAGUGUUAGCCCAUAUGGCACCUUUACAGGUUAGAAAAAAAGAUGCUUCUUCCUCAAGGCAAUUUACCGCUGUCCAAAUCCACAAGAACUACAGCAUGAAUGGUCUUCCCACCCCCCACCCCACAAGGUGUUCAGCACACAACCUGCACACGUAUACGUAGAGGUCUUACACUGCAUCUACUAGAAUGUCAGUUUUACGCAAUGGUAAGUAAAUAAAGACAUUUCUAUAUUAAAGCAAAUACAGUUGCAUUAGAGUUGAUGAAUUUGCAUGAAAUUUUAAGAGAAAAAAGACUUUCAGGAAAUUUGUUGAUAAUGGUCAGGUGGAUGGAUGGAAGCUGGAUGGAUAGAUGGAUGAAUGAAUGGAGCUGUGACUGGAUUGGUCAUUGUGUACAUUAAACACUCUACUUCGGUGGCCUCAGAGGUGUGAAUGAAGUACAGUGUGAUCAGUACUCCUCCCUUGUGCUUGGAUUCUCGGGCUCCCUGAGGAAAGGAGGCACAGUAAGUCUCUACUGCACAUCCUCUGCUUUUCCACAUUAUGUUGCCCUUACACUUUCCUCAUACUCAGGGUCUAUCUAUGCAAAAAGUACUUCUUCACCAUACCGAAAGCAUAAACUUGAUUUCAUAAGUUGGAAAGGAUGUACCACUAAAUGGCUUUUUCACCUGUUAACCAGUAAAUACUGGAAAACAUUUGAAAGCAAGAAAAACUACAGUCACUUACAGAACGUGUUCUAUCCUUAGUUCAUUUGAGCCACGUAAUUUAAUGAACAGAGUAAGUAUUCUGAGAAAAAAUAUGUAAAAUUUAGAGGCGACCCCUCUUAAAACAAACUCCUGUUGUUCUUAUCUGUGUGGAAAAUGAAGGUGACAAAUGGAAGAGCUCUCUAGCCUUGAACAUUUACAGGCUACCUUAGUUUUUUAGAUUUAGCCCUAGGAACUCAGCAAAAUGGAGACUAAAUGUAUUGUUCAAGUGUCUCUUAUGACAC